GACGAACGCUGGCGGCGUGCUUAACACAUGCAAGUCGAACGAUGAAGCCCAGCUUGCUGGGUGGAUUAGUGGCGAACGGGUGAGUAACACGUGGGCACCCUGCCCCAAACUCUGGGAUAACUCCUCGAAAGAGGUGCUAAUACCGGAUACGAACUAGACAGACAUCUGUACUAGUUGGAAAGUCUUUCGGUUUGGGAUGGGCCCGCGGCCUAUCAGCUUGUUGGUGAGGUAACGGCUCACCAAGGCUACGACGGGUAACCGGCCUGAGAGGGCGACCGGUCACACUGGGACUGAGACACGGCCCAGACUCCUACGGGAGGCAGCAGUGGGGAAUAUUGCGCAAUGGGCGAAAGCCUGACGCAGCGACGCCGCGUGAGGGAUGAAGGUCUUCGGAUCGUAAACCUCUUUCAGUAGGGACGAAGCGAAAGUGACGGUACCUAAAGAAGAAGCACCGGCUAACUUCGUGCCAGCCGCCGCGGUAA
rnacentral:rRNA from 1 species